rnacentral:rRNA from 1 species
AAUACAUGCAAGUCGAACGAACUCUGGUAUUGAUUGGUGCUUGCAUCAUGAUUUACAUUGAGUGAGUGGCGAACUGGUGAGUAACACGUGGGAAACCUGCCCAGAAGCGGGGGAUAACACCUGGAAACAGAUGCUAAUACCGCAUAACAACUUGGACCGCAUGGUCCGAGCUUGAAAGAUGGCUUCGGCUAUCACUUUUGGAUGGUCCCGCGGCGUAUUAGCUAGAUGGUGGGGUAACGGCUCACCAUGGCAAUGAUACGUAGCCGACCUGAGAGGGUAAUCGGCCACAUUGGGACUGAGACACGGCCCAAACUCCUACGGGAGGCAGCAGUAGGGAAUCUUCCACAAUGGACGAAAGUCUGAUGGAGCAACGCCGCGUGAGUGAAGAAGGGUUUCGGCUCGUAAAACUCUGUUGUUAAAGAAGAACAUAUCUGAGAGUAACUGUUCAGGUAUUGACGGUAUUUAACCAGAAAGCCACGGCUAACUACGUGCCAGCAGCCGCGGUAAUACGUAGGUGGCAAGCGUUGUCCGGAUUUAUUGGGCGUAAAGCGAGCGCAGGCGGUUUUUUAAGUCUGAUGUGAAAGCCUUCGGCUCAACCGAAGAAGUGCAUCGGAAACUGGGAAACUUGAGUGCAGAAGAGGACAGUGGAACUCCAUGUGUAGCGGUGAAAUGCGUAGAUAUAUGGAAGAACACCAGUGGCGAAGGCGGCUGUCUGGUCUGUAACUGACGCUGAGGCUCGAAAGUAUGGGUAGCAAACAGGAUUAGAUACCCUGGUAGUCCAUACCGUAAACGAUGAAUGCUAAGUGUUGGAGGGUUUC